UGGCCUUCGUCGCUCCACCACCAACGAGUAAACAGACCACCAGGAUGUCGCAAGGCGCUAAGUUCCAGCUUUAAAUGUUAGUUUAUAUAAAAUAUCAGCGGUAAUAGAGAAACUCACGGCGGAUAAUUUCUAGAAGCAAACAGCAUACCGCACCGUUAAGGCUUUGUAACAUUACAAUGACCACUGAGCGGCUGCUUAACGCGAUAACGUCUGUGCUACGUAGAGCUAGUAUGCUAAGCUAAGCGCUAGCCUCGGCUAACUUCAGUUCGUGUUGGAAUGGUAGAGCGCAGCGCGAGCUUCUCCGGUCAUGGCAGCGGGAGCAGGAACCGCUUCUGGCGGAUCUCUGGAGUCUACUUUAGCCAGGAAGUUUCAAAGUGUCACAAACACGAUGGAUUCAAUUCAGGGACUGUCAACCUGGUGUAUCGACAACAAGAAGUACCACAGCCUGAUCGUGCGAAACUGGAUGAAGUCUUUUAGGAAAUCUGAUGCCCCUCACAGGCUCAACCUGUUUUACCUCGCCAACGAUGUCAUUCAGAACUGUAAAAGGAAAAAUGCCAUCGUCUAUCGUACGGCAUUUGCUGAGGUGCUUCCUGAAGCCUUCGUGCUGGUCAACCAUGAAGCUGACCCCAAAGUGAUUAAAUCAGUGGAAAGGAUACUGUCCAUCUGGGAAGACAGGGGUGUGUAUUCAGGGGGAGUCAUUGCUGAGCUUAGGAGUAGCUUAGUCAAAGAUGAGUCCCCUCCUGAGACACCUGUGGAGCAAAAAACUCCAGUUGAGUGUAAAGCAGAUAUGCGGUCCAAGAUUGUUGCUGAGUUUGUGCCCCAGGCACUAAUAGACCAACUGUCCAAGUACAAAAGAUCUCUGGAGGAGGUGGACCUGAGAGAAAAACAGCUGGCAGCUAUGAGGGUUGACAUCUGCAGUUCUGAUGCCCUCAAGAAACUUAAAGAUAAGGCCGGAGGAAAGAAGUUCUCCAAGGACUUUGAAGAAGGAAGUGCACAGCUACAGGGGUUUGUCAAGUUUCUUGACAAACAAAGCAAAACAGGACCUCCUCUCCUUGAGGCCCUCAGCAAUGCAGAUAUCUUCUAUGAGAUGCAGUACAAGGAGGUCAAGAUUGUUGCUAAUGCUUACCAAACGUUUGCUAACCGGGUGACCCACCUCAAGCGUAAACUGGACAGCCUGAAGGCCACCUUACCAGACCUGGACGAGUCGCCAAUCCCCUCACCCUCUGCAGAUGCACCGUCUCCAACGGGGUCGGAGUCCCCUUUCCGUGGUCUGGAAAUGGCUCACCCCGAUCCAGAUCUUGAUGGCUCUGCUAUGGAUGAUGAGGCGGAGCCGCCGGCCCCGAGCCCUCUGUCCUCAAUGGGAGGAUCCCCCAGACACACAGAGACUCUUGGACAGAAUGACAAUCGUGAAGUGGAGGACAUGGAGCUAUCUGAGGAGGAAAUGGAAAGUGGUGGUAUUAUAGGACCUUUGGUGGAGAGUCCUCCUGCUGCCCCUGCUGGUUCCACAGUAAGGACCACACCGGCUAUCUCUGUGGCCUCUCAGGAUGCUAGUUCACUGGUAAACAUCCUUUCCAAGGUGGAUGUGAGUCCUGCAGAGCUCCUCGGUGCUCUGUCCAAAGUCCAGGGCCAAGGCAGCCUUGAGGGCAUCACCUCUAUUCUGAGCAGCCCAGCUGCAAAUGUUUCCUCAACCGCCUCCAGUACAGGCAAGAUCCUUCCUCCAUCCACAUCUGCCUUAGCAGUACCCUCUCUGAGCCCAUCUCUCUCCUCUGUUGCACCUGUGCCUUCUUCACAAAUCUCUUCUGUAAGGCAGAGCACAAGUUCCCAAGUCCCCCCUCAGACUUCCAACCCAGCCUCUGCCCUGGUCCAGGCUCUCCAUAGAGACAUGGAUUUGACAACAGAGCCAGAGCCGUCCGUGUCCUCUAAGAGUUUAGAGUCUAAAAUCCACAGCUUCCUGCAGGAGAACCCUGCUUUUAAUGCAUUUGAUCUGGGUUUUUCUACGAACCCAGUGGGAGGCGAGAGUCUUAGCCCAGUAACUGGCACAGACAACCAGGAUGGGACCCCAGUGCGGGACGAGGGCGGAGGCACCCCUACUCAAGAUGAGAUCAUGGACAAGCCUGUGAUGGUCCCAUUAACUUCAAACAAAAAUCAGUCAUCUAUUGGAGAAACUGUUAAAACAGCUCCAACUGCAUACCAGAAUAGCACUCAGAAGAACCUCAACAGUUCCCAACAGCAAGGUCACUUGCAGCCAGUUGUGGCUCAGAAUGGGAAGGUCUACCAGCCACAACCCUGUGGCAAACAAGAGAUGUCAGAGCAUGGGAUCACUGCACCUGUUGCGCAUUACCAACAGAUUUCUGCACAAACAGGAGGGCUAAUGUCUGGAGAAAGAGCCCCAGGCAGUGGCAGUGGUACACAGACAGUUGAGAGCUUUCAGGGGGUGAAUGAAAGGGGUUGGUAUAGUGACACUUACCCGGAGGGCAGCUCUCAGCAACCCAGAGGCUACAAUGUGACAGUGCCUGGAGGGCCUGGAGAAAACAACACGUCAGGACUCUAUCCAUACCAAACAGAGCAAACUCUGGAACUUCAAGAGGUAGCCUCCCAGCAGGGUGCCAUCGCAUCCCCUGGUUUCUUCAGGAGCAAUCUCCCUCCUGUCCCAAAGUUACCUCCCCCUCCUCAUUCCUUUGACGCCACUCCUUCUGCAACCAGCAGUAUGAUGAUUCCCCCAGAUCAGCAGGCGAUUAACCGUGCGGGGGAGCUGAGUGGGGCCAGAGUCGACAGUGCCAUCAGUGGGAUGGUGGUGCAUGACCAUCAGCACAAGUCCAUGUUUCAUUCAGAUGAUCCACUGUAUGAACUCGACCGACCCCGCCCUCGACAACCUGAGGAUUUACACCCUCACCCAAAUGACUUGCGUUAUCAGGAGGACCUUGAUCGGUACCACGACGGGCUCCGCCGCCGUGAUGCCCUUCUCUUUCAGGACGACACUUACCGACACCCAGAUGAUCCAUAUUACAGGCCAGGCAGCCCUCCACACCAGUACCCCAGAGGUCGAGGCAUCACUCCCCCACUCUCACCUUCAGAAGACCCUUACUAUGCCCAUGACUACCAGCGGCACAGCCCUCCUCCACUGCACUACACUCCAAGAAGACCACCACCACCCCAUCUUGAAAUGCGUCACCCUGGGCUACGACCUCCACAUCGGCCUCCCCACUCAGCACAUCACCCGCAUCUCGGGGGACCCCCACGCGCACCCUUUCCUCGGUUCCAUGGCCCCAAUCCAAGGUUAAGAGGGAAACGUCCAGGUCCAAGGGGAGGGGGAAAUGCUGGUCCAAUGUUCCCCCCGAAAAGACCCUUUCCACCCCCACGAUACUGACUGGAGAUGUUGCUUUGAGCUCUCUAAAUCACUGUGGAUGUCAUGAAGGCAGGGGAAGGACUUUCAAGAUUGUUGGGUAACUUGCAAGUCACUCAGUUUCGAGGUCCACGUGCUGCCAUGAGAGGCCUCUGAAAAUCUGAAACGGCAAAUGUCGGUGCAUCAAAGUGCAGACACUGAGGUGGACAUCGGAGGAAAAGGUUAUACUGACGAGCAAAAUUCAGCAGUUACCAGAAGAAAACGGAAAAUGGCGAUGAAUAAAGGAUGUUUAAAUCGUUGAGGAGAACAAGAGACAACACCAAGAGAUGUAAAAGGAAACGGAGGCUCUGAGAGGGCUGCUGAGCUGAAGAGGGAAGACAGAAGAUUAAAGAAACUAAGAGGGAUCCAGAGCCACACUUUGAUGUGUCUGAUGUGAUGGCAACCUUUACCCACAUGGUUAACUGAUGGAAGCGGGGUGUGUGUGUGUGUGUGCUGUGGUGGCUGUCCUCUUCUGAAAUCCUGCGCUGCGUCCAAUGAUGGCCCUUCAUGGUCUGACAUGAAUGCAGCUGAGUGUGUGUCCGAGAGGAAUCGCAGGAGAACGAGAAGGUUGGACAGAGAGGCCCAUUGAAGUGAGUAAAGCCAGGAUUACUGGAUACCCCUUAAACACGCUCCGUUUCUCCUUCUCUCUAUCUAUGUCUUUCUCUUCUUUAUCCAUAUCUGUGCUGUGAAAGCAUUUUUUUGUGUAAUAAAGUAU